rnacentral:misc_RNA from 1 species
GAUGAAGAACGUAGCGAAAUGCGAUAAGUAAUGUGAAUUGCAGAAUUCAGUGAAUCAUCGAAUCUUUGAACGUACAUUGCGCCCCUUGGUAUUCCGAGGGGCAUGCCUAUUCGAGCGUCAUUAUCACCCCUCAAGCCUAGCUUGGUGUUGAGACCUGCUGUCAAGGCAGUCUCUAAAAUCAGUGGCAGUGCUGUCAGGCUCUAAGCGUAGUAAAUCUAAUCGCUAUAGACACCUGGUGGACACUCGCCAGAACCCCCCCAUUUUUUAAUGAUUGACCUCGGAUUAGGUAGGGAUACCCGCUGAACUUAAGCAUAUCAAUAAGCGGAGGA